UACAGAGGGUGCAAGCGUUAAUCGGAAUUACUGGGCGUAAAGCGUGCGUAGACGGUUAUUUAAGUCAGGUGUGAAAGCCCCGGGCUCAACCUGGGAAUUGCACUUGAGACUGAAUAGCUAGGGUGCGGAAGAGGGAAGCGGAAUUUCCGGUGUAGCGGUGAAAUGCGUAGAUAUCGGAAGGAACACCAGUGGCGAAAGCGGCUUCCUGGUCCAGCACCGACGUUCAGGCACGAAAGCGUGGGGAGCAAACAGG
rnacentral:rRNA from 1 species